rnacentral:misc_RNA from 1 species
AUUAAAAUUGAAAACGUCAGUAAGCUACUUCCCUCUUCGUUGUACAUUAUAUUGUUUUGAAAUUUGUUAACGAGUUAAAAUAUGUCGGCAAACGAAAAACACGGAUUCAUGUACCUUUGGAAUAUUAAAAAUUUUGAUAGGUUUGUGGAAUCAGCAACCAUUAAUACAAUAAUCAGCCCUUCGUUUAAAAUUGAAUUUUUAAAAGGAACUGAAUUGAAUCUAAUAUUAUCAAAAUGGUGUAAAAAAAUAGUUUGUCGAAUUAGACGAGAGAGCUGCAGUGAAAUUCCAGAACGCAUUUCAGUCCACUAUCAAUAUGAGCUAACAACUUCUGCUGGAGUUAUUUUAAAAACGUCUGCUUUAUUAAGUGAUACAUUUAAUGAUACAUUCAGGGAUAUUUCGAAUGAAUACGAAAUAAUGGAACUGACUGAUAGUAGUACGCCGGAAGAUGUCAGCCUGCGAUGCCGUAUAAUAUUACCUUGCAUAAUUCCGUCAAUAAUCUCAAGUCCACCUUCUGUUGUCGGUUGGGAAGCUGAAACAGACAUUGUGGCAGCUCGUUACCCUUUUGAGUGGUCCUUAGUAUUUUCCGGCAAUAAUAAGUUGACAGCUGUUGAAAGUGUAACUGUGGAAAAUAUACCGAUUGAUGUUAAAUUUAAAUAUGUUGAGCAUGAGCUUAAGAUUAAACUUAUUCCCAAAAUCAUUGAUAAUAAAUUUCACACUGUGUGGUGUACAAUGAAUUUAAAAGUAAAUAGAAAAUCAGUUGACAUGACUUAUGGAUGGCGGCAAAAUUUUAAAUUUAGUAACACAACUACAGAAUACAAAUUUAUCCAUUCUGUGAAUAAAUUGCUCCGAGAGGAAGCUAUUUGCUCUCUUUAUAAAAUACUUAAUAUGGGAGUAAUGUUUGAAUAUUCAGAUAACGCUUCAAUCACAGAGAUAAAGAAUUUUAAUAAAAAUUCCCCAAGUGUUGAGCGUGCUGCAUUAACUCAAAAUAAAGAUGAGAUCGACAGCUUAUUGAAUCUACAGCAGCAUCUCAGGAACAUGUUGAAUGAAAAACACUACGCCGACGUGAAACUGCGUGCUGAUGGUGAGGUUUUCUUUGCUCACAAAUGCUUACUAGCUUCUCGAUCGCCAGAGUUCAGGGCUAUGUUUGAUCGAGAGAUGUUAAAGAGCAAAACUAGCGUCAUUGAUAUGCGUGAUGUGGAAGCAAAGACCCUGAAAUAUUUUUUGGAGUAUCUCUAUACUGGAACAGUGGAUGGUAUGGAUGACAAAAUGGCCUUGAAUCUAUUGAUAGUUGCUGAUAAAUAUCAGGUAUCAUCCUUGGUAGAGAAGUGUUCAACAUUCCUAAAAUCAGCUUUGAAUUUCGACAAUGUACUAAGCAUACUACUGGUAGCAGAUUUGGUGAAUUAUGAACCAAUGAAAGUGUUUAUAAUAGAAUAUAUUGUGGAAAACUCUUCGGAAGUUUUGUCCUUACCGAACUGGCCACAAUGGAUGAAAAUGAAUUCUUUAAUUGCGUCUGAAGUAUUACUUAAGCUUUCCUGCAAGUUUGAUUCUAAUUUUAAAAAGAAAUGUGUGGAAUCGGUAUUAGAAACUUCGAAAGAAGCCAGCUUGUCUCCUGUAAAUUCACAGAAGAAGGAACUGGUUGCUGGAAGUUCGAAAGAAGCCAGCGUGCCUCCUGUAAAUUCCCAGAAGACUGUAAAUUCACAGAAGAAGGAACUGGUUGCUGGAAGUUCGAAAGAAGUUCUAAAGCAAAGUCAAGAGUUAUGGUGAGACGUUUAAAAAAUCGUGCAACAAUUGAAAUCUAUUGCAUCAUUCUGACGCAAUACUUAGAGAAAUUUCAAUUUAGAAUGCUUUAAGAUUGUGAUCUAUGAAUUUUGGAAGUUUUGCUCGACGAUACUUGAGUCAGAAGGAAGAAAGAUGAAUACAUGAUGAAAAAAAAUUAUAUAUCUCAUUUGCUUUUAAGUAUACUUGAGUUUGCUUUUAACUGCAUUAUGUUAGUCCCGUAAUUACUCUAAUAAAGAUGUAACCAAAAUACAAGUUCAAAUUUAACUAAAAUUCUAUAUUUUGUUCCUCCCUA